rnacentral:lncRNA from 1 species
CCUAGGAUUAGUACAACUUUUCAUCUCCUUUCACCACCGCCAGUCGCCACCGGAGAUCGCCAGCGGCGACGAUCGAUCUCCGAACCCCCUCGAAAUUUGACCCCAUAAUCGUUGUUGCCUUCCCACUCCAAAUCCAUCUCUAGUUUUCUCCAAAUGUCUCCCGAUAUUCAUGAAUUUCAAAUCUCGGACGACAAAAAAUUUGAGUUGGCUCCGUCUCCUCUGAUUUUCUCUGUAUUUCUACGAUAUUCGCUUCUUUUGAUACUAUCACAAGGGAUAAGCUGAUUGUUCAAUCAAAAUUCGAGGCGCCUCAUGGGAUCCAGUUUUAGUGAAGCAAUCUGUGCUCCAAGUUCUAGUUUGUCUCAUUUUCAAGAUAGGUGUCAAAGAUGGUGAUAUGGAGUAUUAGCCGUCAGAGAAAUUCCGGUUAAUGUUCGUAUUACAAUUCUCGCCGCUUGUCGGAUCCUCCUUAGUCGUUGAUUUCUUUGAAGUUGUCAAAUUUUCUGUUGGAACCUAGUACAUUUUUUUCUCUUUACUGUAACUUUCAAUCUUUUCUUCUUUUGUUGUUUGCUAUCUUGUUUUCAAACGUUAAUUCUGGUGUGAUAAAUCAGCAUCGAUAGCUUACUAGAUUCAUUAUUUGUUAAUGUUGAGUUCUGUUUCUUGUUUCGUUUGAUUUAAAGGUGUCUUUGUUAAUAGCUUCAAUGGUAUUGUAGUUCUUGUCAUCCUUUACUAAUUCAUGAAAUGGCACUAGUUUUGUUUUUAUUUUGUGUAUUAAUCAUGUUUGGGCUUUAUAAAAGGGGAUCCCAAAGCGGGGUAUGGAAUUCUGGUAGCCCAAAUGGUCGGGAAUUCUGGUAGCCCAAAUGGUUUGGGCCUGUGUGUGCCUCACUUGAGCCCAUAUCUAUUUUUCGAGGGAGGGUAAAUAGUGAUGGCUAUGGCAGGUGAUUUGGGUAGUCUAGGUGGGGAAUAUUUUGUAACUAGCUUGGAAGUUUCUAGCAGGGAUCUGAUAGUAUAUUUCAGGGUAUAACUUGGGAAACAAGUCACAAAAUGGGGGAUUAAAAAAAUGAAAACCAAAAUUUGAAAGGUACCAUAAGGACUUGCCUAUAAAGGUAUUGUAAAGAGGGGCUGCACAAGGGUAAUGCUUUAUAAAGAGGAGAAUUCCAGAAGGGGGUGAUUAGCACUAGAUCUCACCAAGUAAUUUCGAAAAGGGACACAGCCUUACUGUUCCAUUAACUUCUUUUUCUUGUAAUUUUAAAAAAUUCAUCCUGGUCGAAGUAAUCUGGGUUGCAAUUUGAGGGUUGGAGGUGGUUUGAACUUGGCUUCACUUGGGUUUGAAGUUUGGAAGUCAAGCUCUUGGUUUAGUUUCAUUACGGGUUGUAUGAAGCUAAUUUCCUGCUACUAUUGUUGCUGAGACUACUGAACUUUGUUUUCCUUGCUGUUAUUGUGGAAUUUCUAGGUACAUGCUUCCUUUCACUUAAUGUAAUGCUUGGAAGCAAAAUGGAUUUAUGGAAUUCUGAAUGUUGGUGGUGUCUCGUUUGUACAUUCCUGUUGCAAUUAGAUAGUCCUAUUUAUCAUCCUCUACCCCUGAAUAUGCGACUAAGAGAUUGAUGUUCGGGAUGUUUCAGAUUACAUAUGAAUUUGUUGAAUAUGGCUCGAUCAUGAUCUUUUGGAUUUGGUGAGUGUAUACUGGACUAAUUUCCUGCUACUGCUGUUGCUGAGACUACUGACCUUUGUUUUCCUUGUUGUUGUUGUGGCAUUUCCAGCUACAUGCUUCCUUUCACUUAAUGUAAAGCUUGGAAACAAAAUGGAUUUAUGGAAUUCUGAAUGUUGGUGGUGUCUUGUUUAUACAUUCUUGUUGCAAUCAGAUAGUUCUAUUUAUCAUCCUCUACCCCUGAAUAUGCGACUAAGAGAUUGAUGUUCGAGAUGUUUUAGA